UGCAGCCGUAGCCUCAAAAAGAUUCAGAUCUUCGUGAAAACCCUAACGGGAAGACCAUUACGCUAGAGGUCGAGUCAUCUGACACCAUCGACUAUGUGAAAGCGAAGAUACAAGACAAGGAAGGGAUCUCACCGGACCAGCAGCCUUUGAUUUUCGCCGGGAAGCAGCUCGAGGACGGCCGCAGUUCUUAUCAAAUAAAAUAAAAAAGUUUCGAUAAACUUGAUUUGUGCAGUUGGUCUCGUCUGCUCUUCAAAGAUGCCGUUUAUCAGAUACAGAUCCUCCGAUUACGUCUAUUUCGAUCGCAGAUACGGCAUCGACGAAGCGGCUGCUACUCCUCUGCAGGCAGUGAAUAGGGGUCACUCUGACAGCGAAGUUAACACAACACGGAAACUCUUUUCCUUUCUCUCUAAUUUUAGUGUUUAGGGUUUUGGAUGAUUUAGAUUUUAGACCUCUAUAAUGGGGAAUUGCUU